rnacentral:rRNA from 1 species
CACGUAGGGGCGAGCGUUGUCCGGAAUUAUUGGGCGUAAAGAGCUUGUAGGUGGCUUGUCGCGUCUGCCGUGAAAACCCGAGGCUCAACCUCGGGCGUGCGGUGGGUACGGGCAGGCUAGAGUGUGGUAGGGGAGACUGGAACUCCUGGUGUAGCGGUGAAAUGCGCAGAUAUCAGGAGGAACACCGAUGGCGAAGGCAGGUCUCUGGGCCACUACUGACGCUGAGAAGCGAAAGCAUGGGGAGCGAACAGGAUUAGAUACCCG